rnacentral:rRNA from 1 species
UACGUAGGUGGCAAGCGUUGUCCGGAUUUACUGGGCGUAAAGAGCGCGCAGGCGGUCGUUCAAGUCGCGUGUGAAAGCCCCCGGCUCAACUGGGGAGGGUCACGCGAUACUGAUCGACUCGAAGGCAGGAGAGGGAAGUGGAAUUCCCGGUGUAGUGGUGAAAUGCGUAGAUAUCGGGAGGAACACCAGUGGCGAAGGCGACUUCCUGGCCUGUUCUUGACGCUGAGGCGCGAAAGCGUGGGGGAGCGAACAGG